rnacentral:rRNA from 1 species
CCUACGGGAGGCAGCAGUGGGGAAUAUUGGACAAUGGGCGAAAGCCUGAUCCAGCCAUGCCGCGUGUGUGAAGAAGGCCUUCGGGUUGUAAAGCACUUUCAGUGGGGAAGAAAGCCUUGGGGCUAAUACCCUCGAGGAUGGACAUCACCCACAGAAGAAGCACCGGCUAACUCCGUGCCAGCAGCCGCGGUAAUACGGAGGGUGCGAGCGUUAAUCGGAAUUACUGGGCGUAAAGCGCGCGUAGGCGGUCUGAUAAGCCGGUUGUGAAAGCCCCGGGCUCAACCUGGGAACGGCAUCCGGAACUGUCAGGCUAGAGUGCAGUAGAGGGAGGUAGAAUUUCCUGUGUAGCGGUGAAAUGCGUAGAUAUCGGGAGGAAUACCAGUGGCGAAGGCGACCUUCUGGACUGACACUGACGCUGAGGUGCGAAAGCGUGGGGAGCAAACAGGAUUAGAUACCCUAGUAGUC